AUGCAGCAUUAAAGCCCGUGUGAAGCCAGUGCUUGUAAGCAGUGCCAAGCUGACAGUUACAGGGAAGAAAGGCUCUGAUUUAACGGGCCAGGCAGGAUGCUAUGCUGAUGUGGUCAUGCUGCUUUGGGACCUUAGCGAGCACCUCUGCAGGGCACAGCUCUGUGCCACAUAGACCUGCCAGCUUGCUGCUGUUUGAGAUCCCACUCUGUGCCAUACUGGACAUGUGAAUGAUCCUACAGCUCCUUGUGGACCCAAAUGGCAACCAUGGUGCAUGCAUCUACCUCAUAAAAAAGGAUACUUAUUAUCUGACUAUACCUGAACAUCACUGUAUCUUCUGAGAUUCCUUGAAGAACUUUGGUAUUCAUAGUAAUAACAUGCAUGAGAUGAGAUCAUCUGGCCUGUUAUGGCAGAAAUAUGUAAUUCCACAAGAAUUUUAUUGUAAUUUAGCAUGCACUUAUGUCUGCUUAUUUGAAAGUUUAUCUGGAUAAUGAAUUGUAUCCCUUAGGCAUUUUGUAAUAGUUCUUAUUUUAGUAAUAGUAUAUCUUCAGUGCAUUUCUAAUACCAAAGAGUCCAUGUCAAACAUAAUGAUCAAAACUGAGCAUAGUUUCUUCAGCGUAAUUUAGCACAAAUUUGAACUAUGUAUUUUAUAGCUAUGUAUUUGAAUUAUGCAAACUAGUGACUCAAAAUAAUUUUCAAAGUGCUAAUGGAAAGCACACCAGAUUUUCCCAAUUUGAAAAAUGCAAAUCUCUUAAGCCUUUGCUCAGCUCCCAGACUUAGUGUAUUUUGAUGCAUCUUCGUUCUUAAAGCUCUACAGUACCGCGUCCGUAGGAGCACCUCUCACAGUACCAGGAUCUUGCUGUCCUGAGUUUGGUUUAUAAAUAUGUAAUUUAUUUUUUGUAGUUCACAAGUAACCUACAGCUACCACAUCGCCUGUUUUUGUAACGUGUGAUCCCUGGUUGUCUGGUCUGUGUGUAGAAAGACGUUGUGCGUUUUCUCAUGGAAGACAAAUGAGCCACAAUGAAUCACAAGGUUGUCUUUAAUAUUCCCCUUCCACAGUGUAACGCUAACCAGUAUGCCCAGUUAGGGCUAAUAUGCCGCCUAGAUCUGCACAUGACAAAUGUGAUCCUGUGCCACUUCAUACACUGCAACCUAUUGUCUCCCCAUGUGUCUUCCCCAGAGCAGCCAGUCACGCAUUCCCUGGGUAUGUUGUCAUGGCCACAAGGAUUGUUUUCCUUUGGAGUCUAAUAAUAAGUCAAUUAGAGCAGGAUUAGCCUCUGGGAAAUGAAACCAGUUACUCCCUCUCUCCCAGGAUGAGGACCUUAAAUGAUCUGCCUGAACAUUUUCCUCUCCUUCCUUUGUUUUUCCUGCAAUCCAGCAAAUCACUUCUCCUCUAAUUAGCUUGCCAGUAGGCAUCUAUCAAAUGUUUCUCUUGUUAACUUACAGCACCAGCCAGAAGGGUGCUUUGUAGCGCCUUGUCGGGGUUCUGCCAAGUUUAGUGUCUGGCAGAGCUGGAA